rnacentral:rRNA from 1 species
CAUUAGAUACCCCCGUAGUCCUAGGCGUAAAUGAUGCGAGUUAAGUNUGGGGGCAUCUACGAGAUGGCCCUGUGCUGUAGGGUAGCCGUUAAACUCGCUGCCUGGGGAGUACGGUCGCAAGGCUGAAACUUAAAGGAAUUGGCGGGGAGCACCACAAGAGGUGGAGGCUGCGGUUCAAUUGGACUCAACGCCGGAAAACUCAUCGGGAGCGACAGCAGUAUGAUUGCCAGGUUGAUGACCUUGCUUGACAAGCUG